GACGAACGCUGGCGGCGUGCUUAACACAUGCAAGUCGAACGGAAAGGCCCUGCUUUUGUGGGGUGCUCGAGUGGCGAACGGGUGAGUAACACGUGAGUAACCUGCCCUUGACUUUGGGAUAACUUCAGGAAACUGGGGCUAAUACCGGAUAGGAGCUCCUGCUGCAUGGUGGGGGUUGGAAAGUUUCGGCGGUUGGGGAUGGACUCGCGGCUUAUCAGCUUGUUGGUGGGGUAGUGGCUUACCAAGGCUUUGACGGGUAGCCGGCCUGAGAGGGUGACCGGCCCCAUUGGGACUUAGGUACGGCCCAGACCCCUACGGGAGGCAGCAGUGGGGAAUAUUGCACCAUGGGCGGAAGCCUGAUGCAGCAACGCCGCGGGCGGGAUGACGGCCUUCGGGUUGUAAACCGCUUUCGCUCAUGACGAAGCUUUGUGUGACGGUAGUGGGUAAAGAAGCACCGGCUAACUACGUG
rnacentral:rRNA from 1 species